rnacentral:rRNA from 1 species
GAUGAACGCUGGCGGCGUGCCUAAUACAUGCAAGUCGAGCGAACGGACGAGAAGCUUGCUUCUCUGAUGUUAGCGGCGGACGGGUGAGUAACACGUGGAUAACCUACCUAUAAGACUGGGAUAACUUCGGGAAACCGGAGCUAAUACCGGAUGAUAUUUUGAACCGCAUGGUUCAAAAGUGAAAGACGGUCUUGCUGUCACUUAUAGAUGGAUCCGCGCUGCAUUAGCUAGUUGGUAAGGUAACGGCUUACCAAGGCAACGAUGCAUAGCCGACCUGAGAGGGUGAUCGGCCACACUGGAACUGAGACACGGUCCAGACUCCUACGGGAGGCAGCAGUAGGGAAUCUUCCGCAAUGGGCGAAAGCCUGACGGGGCAACGCCGCGUGAGUGAUGAAGGUCUUCGGAUCGUAAAACUCUGUUAUUGGGGAAGAACAUAUGUGUAAGUAACUGUGCACAUCUUGACGGUACCUAAUCAGAAAGCCACGGCUAACUACGU